GCCACCAGGGAGAGGUAUGAACCACAACGAUAACCGCAGGGAUGAGGUCCUCUUCCAAUCGAAAGAAAUGCAAGGCAGAAGUGCCUGAUUGAAUCCAUGCAGAGUUCACCCAACCAGUAGUCCACCCCUCAGAGAACACCGCAACCAGGCAACCCAAAACAAGAACUGUAGAGGCACCAGAGGCCAAGAAUGGUCGUAAAUACCAGACAAUUGCUGCAAGCCAACACAGACAGCCCACAGAA
rnacentral:misc_RNA from 1 species